UACGUAGGGUGCAAGCGUUGUCCGGAAUUAUUGGGCGUAAAGAGCUCGUAGGCGGUCUGUCGCGUCGGAUGUGAAAACUCGGGGCUCAACCCCGAGCCUGCAUUCGAUACGGGCAGACUAGAGUUCGGUAGGGGAGACUGGAAUUCCUGGUGUAGCGGUGAGAUGCGCAGAUAUCAGGAGGAACACCGGUGGCGAAGGCGGGUCUCUGGGCCGAUACUGACGCUGAGGAGCGAAAGCGUGGGGAGCGAACAGG
rnacentral:rRNA from 1 species